UAACGGGGCUAAACCAUGCACCGAAGCUGCGGCAGCGACACUGUGUGUUGUUGGGUAGGGGAGCGUUCUGUAAGCCUGUGAAGGUGGCCUGUGAGGGUUGCUGGAGGUAUCAGAAGUGCGAAUGCUGACAUAAGUAACGAUAAAGCGGGUGAAAAGCCCGCUCGCCGGAAGACCAAGGGUUCCUGUCCAACGUUAAUCGGGGCAGGGUGAGUCGACCCCUAAGGCGAGGCCGAAAGGCGUAGUCGAUGGGAAACGGGUUAAUAUUCCCGUACUUGGUGUUACUGCGAAGGGGGGACGGAGAAGGCUAUGUUGGCCGGGCGACGGUUGUCCCGGUUUAAGCGUGUAGGCUGGUUUUCCAGGCAAAUCCGGAAAAUCAAGGCUGAGGCGUGACGACGAGGCACUACGGUGCUGAAGCAACAAAUGCCCUGCUUCCAGGAAAAGCCUCUAAGCAUCAGGUAACACGAAAUCGUACCCCAAACCGACACAGGUGGUCAGGUAGAGAAUACCAAGGCGCUUGAGAGAACUCGGGUGAAGGAACUAGGCAAAAUGGUGCCGUAACUUCGGGAGAAGGCACGCUGACACGUAGGUGAAGUGAUUUACUCAUGGAGCUGAAGUCAGUCGAAGAUACCAGCUGGCUGCAACUGUUUAUUAAAAACACAGCACUGUGCAAACACGAAAGUGGACGUAUACGGUGUGACGCCUGCCCGGUGCCGGAAGGUUAAUUGAUGGGGUCAGCGCAAGCGAAGCUCCUGAUCGAAGCCCCGGUAAACGGCGGCCGUAACUAUAACGGUCCUAAGGUAGCGAAAUUCCUUGUCGGGUAAGUUCCGACCUGCACGAAUGGCGUAAUGAUGGCCAGGCUGUCUCCACCCGAGACUCAGUGAAAUUGAACUCGCUGUGAAGAUGCAGUGUACCCGCGGCAAGACGGAAAGACCCCGUGAACCUUUACUAUAGCUUGACACUGAACAUUGAGCCUUGAUGUGUAGGAUAGGUGGGAGGCUUUGAAGUGUGGACGCCAGUCUGCAUGGAGCCGACCUUGAAAUACCACCCUUUAAUGUUUGAUGUUCUAACGUGGACCCGUAAUCCGGGUUGCGGACAGUGUCUGGUGGGUAGUUUGACUGGGGCGGUCUCCUCCUAAAGAGUAACGGAGGAGCACGAAGGUUGGCUAAUCCUGGUCGGACAUCAGGAGGUUAGUGCAAUGGCAUAAGCCAGCUUGACUGCGAGCGUGACGGCGCGAGCAGGUGCGAAAGCAGGUCAUAGUGAUCCGGUGGUUCUGAAUGGAAGGGCCAUCGCUCAACGGAUAAAAGGUACUCCGGGGAUAACAGGCUGAUACCGCCCAAGAGUUCAUAUCGACGGCGGUGUUUGGCACCUCGAUGUCGGCUCAUCACAUCCUGGGGCUGAAGUAGGUCCCAAGGGUAUGGCUGUUCGCCAUUUAAAGUGGUACGCGAGCUGGGUUUAGAACGUCGUGAGACAGUUCGGUCCCUAUCUGCCGUGGGCGCUGGAGAACUGAGGGGGGCUGCUCCUAGUACGAGAGGACCGGAGUGGACGCAUCACUGGUGUUCGGGUUGUCAUGCCAAUGGCACUGCCCGGUAGCUAAAUGCGGAAGAGAUAAGUGCUGAAAGCAUCUAAGCACGAAACUUGCCCCGAGAUGAGUUCUCCCUGAGACUUAGAGUCUCCUGAAGGAACGUUGAAGACGACGACGUUGAUAGGCCGGGUGUGUAAGCGCAGCGAUGCGUUGAGCUAACCGGUACUAAUGAACCGUGAGGCUUAACCUUACAACGCCAAAG
rnacentral:rRNA from 1 species